UACGUAGGGUGCGAGCGUUAAUCGGAAUUACUGGGCGUAAAGCGUGCGCAGGCGGUUUUGUAAGCCAGAUGUGAAAUCCCCGGGCUUAGCCUGGGAAUGGCAUUUGGGACUGCAAGGCUGGAGUGUGGCAGAGGAGACUGGAAUUCCUGGUGUAGCAGUGAAAUGCGUAGAUAUCAGGAGGAAUACCGAUGGCGAAGGCAGGUCUCUGGGCUGACACUGACGCUCAUGCACGAAAGCGUGGGGAGCAAAAAGG
rnacentral:rRNA from 1 species